rnacentral:rRNA from 1 species
ACGGGAGGCAGCAGUGAGGAAUAUUGGUCAAUGGGCGGAAGCCUGAACCAGCCAAGUCGCGUGCGGGACGAAGGCCCUACGGGUCGUAAACCGCUUUUGUACGGGAAUAAAAAACUCCACGUGUGGGGUCUUGUAGGUACCGUAAGAAUAAGGAUCGGCUAACUCCGUGCCAGCAGCCGCGGUAAUACGGAGGAUCCGAGCGUUAUCCGGAUUUAUUGGGUUUAAAGGGUGCGUAGGCGGCCCCUUAAGUCGGCGGUGAAAUUUCCGGGCUCAACCCGGUCACUGCCGUCGAAACUGGGGGGCUUGAGUGCGUUUGGGGUGGCUGGAAUGUGCGGUGUAGCGGUGAAAUGCAUAGAUAUCGCACAGAACGCCGAUCGCGGAGGCAGGUCACCAAGCCGCAACUGACGCUGAGGCACGAAAGCGCGGGGAUCGAACAGGAUUAGAUACCCUGGUA